AAAAUAUCUAAUAUUUAAGCUUCUAACUUAAAUUUAAAGCGUUUAAUACGUUUAUAUUUUA
rnacentral:tRNA from 1 species